GAUGAACGCUGGCGGCGUGCUUAACACAUGCAAGUCGAACGAUGAAGCCCAGCUUGCUGGGCGGAUUAGUGGCGAACGGGUGAGUAACACGUGAGUAACCUGCCCUUGACUCUGGGAUAAGCCCGGGAAACUGGGUCUAAUACCGGAUAGGAGCGCCUGUCGCAUGACGGGUGCUGGAAAGAUCUUUCGGUCAUGGAUGGACUCGCGGCCUAUCAGCUUGUUGGUGAGGUAACGGCUCACCAAGGCGACGACGGGUAGCCGGCCUGGGAGGGUGACCGGCCACACUGGGACUGAGACACGGCCCAGACCCCUACGGGAGGCAGCAGUGGGGAAUAUUGCACAAUGGGCGAAAGCCUGAUGCAGCGACGCCGCGUGAGGGAUGACGGCCUUCGGGUUGUAAACCUCUUUCAGCAGGGAAGAAGCGAAAGUGACGGUACCUGCAGAAGAAGCACCGGCUAACUACGUG
rnacentral:rRNA from 1 species